rnacentral:rRNA from 1 species
AGAGUUUGAUCCUGGCUCAGGAUGAACGCUGGCGGCGUGCUUAACACAUGCAAGUCGAACGUGAAGCUUUAACUGAAUACUUCGGUAGGAUUUUAAGGUGGAAAGUGGCGAACGGGUGAGUAACACGUAGGUGACCUGCCUCGAAGUGGGGGACAACCAUUGGAAACGAUGGCUAAUACCGCAUGGUUCUGUUGGUAUGGGAAUGCCGAUAGAUAAAGCCUUCGGGCGCUUUGAGAGGGGCCUGCGGUCGAUUAGCUAGUUGGAGGGGUAAAGGCCCACCAAGGCGACGAUCGAUAGCUGGUCUGAGAGGACGAUCAGCCACAUGGGAACUGAGACACGGUCCCAACUCCUACGGGGGGCAGCAGUGAGGAAUAUUGCACAAUGGGGGAAACCCUGAUGCAGCAACGCCGCGUGGAGGAUGAAGGUUCUUGGAUUGUAAACUCCUUUUCUGAGGGAAGAGCAAGGACGGUACCUCAGGAAUAAGUCACGGCUAACUACGUGCCAGCAGCCGCGGUGACACGUAGGUGGCGAGCGUUAUCCGGAUUUACUGGGCGUAAAGGGCACGCAGGCGGUCAAUCAAGUUUGGCGUGAAAUCUCUCGGCUUAACUGGGAGCGGUCGUUGAAAACUGAAUGACUUGAGUCAGUGAGAGGGGUGCGGAAUUCCGGGUGUAGUGGUGGAAUGCGUAGAUAUCCGGAGGAACACCAGUGGCGAAAGCGGCACCCUGGCACUGUACUGACGCUGAGGUGCGAAAGCGUGGGUAGCGAACGGGAUUAGAUACCCCGGUAGUCCACGCCGUAAACGAUGAAUACUAGGUGUAGGAUGUGUUAAAGCAUUCUGUGCCAAAGCAAACGCGAUAAGUAUUCCGCCUGGGGAGUACGGCCGCAAGGCUAAAACUCAAAGGAAUUGACGGGGACCCGCACAAGCAGCGGAGCGUGUGGUUUAAUUCGAUACGCGAAGAACCUUACCUGGUCUUGACAUAGAAAGAACUUUCCAGAGAUGGAUUGGUGCCUGCUUGCAGGAGCUUUCAUACAGGUGCUGCACGGCUGUCGUCAGCUCGUGUCGUGAGAUGUUGGGUUAAGUCCCGCAACGAGCGCAACCCUCGUCGUUAGUUGCUAACAGUUCGGCUGAGAACUCUAACGAGACUGCCUACGCAAGUAGGAGGAAGGUGAGGACGACGUCAAGUCAUCAUGGCCCUUACGACCAGGGCUACACACGUGCUACAAUGGGGUAUACAAAGAGCAGCGAUACGGUGACGUGGAGCGAAUCUCAAAAAUGCCUCCCAGUUCGGAUAGUAGUCUGCAACUCGACUACUUGAAGUUGGAAUCGCUAGU